UUAAUAUUUAUGGUAUGUGGUGGGUUUGCAACAUUAUCAACUUUGGCUAAGUCGAGUUGUGUUUCCUGGAACUCCCUUCCCUGUUCCUUUUCGGUUAGGGUUGCGGCCACAGGAGAAAUUUGCGUGAGAUUUGUCAGUGGAAGUGAAGCAACACGCAUGUGUAUUUGAUGAAAGUCGCUGGCAGUCAGGCCCCGUUGCACUUUUGGUGGGGGCAGCAGCUCCUCCGGCUCCACAGAACUCUGCCUCCAGCUUUUCCAAAUCCUGGGCCAGGCUGCAGGUGUCUUGGCUCUCCGCCACUGCACAUCCAUCCCCCACCGCACAUCCAGCUGUUUUCUGGACCACCUGCCCAGCGACUCCUGGUGAAGAAGAAACAGCGCAACUGGGACUCUUAUCAGCUCCUUGAAUUAAUGGCUUAAGUCAGUCACCAAACCUGAGGUCACCAGA